rnacentral:tRNA from 1 species
UGGUAGUAGCUCAGCUGGGAGAGCACCUCCCUUACAAGGAAGUGGUCGCAGGUUCGAAUCCUGCACGACCCACCA